GGACGAACGCUGGCGGCGUGCCUAAUACAUGCAAGUCGAGCGGACAGAAGGGAGCUUGCUCCCGGAUGUUAGCGGCGGACGGGUGAGUAACACGUGGGUAACCUGCCUGUAAGACUGGGAUAACUCCGGGAAACCGGAGCUAAUACCGGAUAGUUCCUUGAACCGCAUGGUUCAAGGAUGAAAGACGGUUUCGGCUGUCACUUACAGAUGGACCCGCGGCGCAUUAGCUAGUUGGUGAGGUAACGGCUCACCAAGGCGACGAUGCGUAGCCGACCUGAGAGGGUGAUCGGCCACACUGGGACUGAGACACGGCCCAGACUCCUACGGGAGGCAGCAGUAGGGAAUCUUCCGCAAUGGACGAAAGUCUGACGGAGCAACGCCGCGUGAGUGAUGAAGGUUUUCGGAUCGUAAAGCUCUGUUGUUAGGGAAGAACAAGUGCAAGAGUAACUGCUUGCACCUUGACGGUACCUAACCAGAAAGCCACGGCUAACUACGUGCCAGCAGCCGCGGUAAUACGUAGGUGGCAAGCGUUGUCCGGAAUUAUUGGGCGUAAAGGGCUCGCAGGCGGUUUCUUAAGUCUGAUGUGAAAGCCCCCGGCUCAACCGGGGAGGGUCAUUGGAAACUGGGAAACUUGAGUGCAGAAGAGGAGAGUGGAAUUCCACGUGUAGCGGUGAACUGCGUAGAGAUGUGGAGGAACACCAGUGGCGAAGGCGACUCUCUGGUCUGUAACUGACGCUGAGGAGCGAAAGCGUGGGGAGCGAACAGGAUUAGAUACCCUGGUAGUCCACGCCGUAAACGAUGAGUGCUAAGUGUUAGGGGGUUUCCGCCCCUUAGUGCUGCAGCUAACGCAUUAAGCACUCCGCCUGGGGAGUACGGUCGCAAGACUGAAACUCAAAGGAAUUGACGGGGGCCCGCACAAGCGGUGGAGCAUGUGGUUUAAUUCGAAGCAACGCGAAGAACCUUACCAGGUCUUGACAUCCUCUGACAACCCUAGAGAUAGGGCUUUCCCUUCGGGGACAGAGUGACAGGUGGUGCAUGGUUGUCGUCAGCUCGUGUCGUGAGAUGUUGGGUUAAGUCCCGCAACGAGCGCAACCCUUGAUCUUAGUUGCCAGCAUUCAGUUGGGCACUCUAAGGUGACUGCCGGUGACAAACCGGAGGAAGGUGGGGAUGACGUCAAAUCAUCAUGCCCCUUAUGACCUGGGCUACACACGUGCUACAAUGGACAGAACAAAGGGCUGCGAGACCGCAAGGUUUAGCCAAUCCCACAAAUCUGUUCUCAGUUCGGAUCGCAGUCUGCAACUCGACUGCGU
rnacentral:rRNA from 1 species